UACGUAGGGGGCAAGCGUUGUCCGGAUUUAUUGGGCGUAAAGAGCGUGUAGGCGGCCAUUCAGGUCAGCUGUGAAAACUCGAGGCUCAACCUCGAGACGUCGGUUGAAACCGUUUGGCUAGAGUCCGGAAGAGGAGAGUGGAAUUCCCGGUGUAGCGGUGAAAUGCGCAGAUAUCGGGAAGAACACCCGUGGCGAAGGCGACUUACUGGACACGUAUUGACGCUGAGGUGCGAAAGCGUGGGGAGCAAACAGG
rnacentral:rRNA from 1 species